rfam:Dipodomys ordii contig_79909, whole genome shotgun sequence.
GGUGGCUCAGUGGUAGAGCACUUGCCUUGCAUGCAUAAGGCCCUGGGUUCAAUUCCUCAGCACCA